rnacentral:tRNA from 1 species
GAGGGUAUAGCUCAGUGGUAGAACAUGUGCUUAGCAUUCACGAGGUCUUGGGUCAAUCCCCAGUACCUCCA